rnacentral:rRNA from 1 species
CCUAAUCAGAAAGCCACGGCUAACUACGUGCCAGCAGCCGCGGUAAUACGUAGGUGGCAAGCGUUAUCCGGAAUUAUUGGGCGUAAAGCGCGCGUAGGCGGUUUUUUAAGUCUGAUGUGAAAGCCCACGGCUCAACCGUGGAGGGUCAUUGGAAACUGGAAAACUUGAGUGCAGAAGAGGAAAGUGGAAUUCCAUGUGUAGCGGUGAAAUGCGCAGAGAUAUGGAGGAACACCAGUGGCGAAGGCGACUUUCUGGUCUGUAACUGACGCUGAUGUGCGAAAGCGUGGGGAUCAAACAGGAUUAGAUACCCUGGUAGUCCACGCCGUAAACGA